AAUUGACCAAGCUAAGCAUGUAGACUCUUUGUUUGAAGGUUUUCGGACGCGGGUUCGAUCCCCGCCAUCUCCACCA
rnacentral:tmRNA from 1 species